rnacentral:rRNA from 1 species
CCUACGGGAGGCAGCAGUGGGGAAUAUUGGACAAUGGGCGAAAGCCUGAUCCAGCAAUGCCGCGUGAGUGAUGAAGGCCUUAGGGUCGUAAAGCUCUUUUACCCGGGAUGAUAAUGACAGUACCGGGAGAAUAAGCCCCGGCUAACUCCGUGCCAGCAGCCGCGGUAAUACGGAGGGGGCUAGCGUUGUUCGGAAUUACUGGGCGUAAAGCGUGCGUAGGCGGUUAUUCAAGUCAGAGGUGAAAGCCCGGGGCUCAACCCCGGAACGGCCUUUGAAACUAGGUAGCUAGAAUCUUGGAGAGGUCAGUGGAAUUCCGAGUGUAGAGGUGAAAUUCGUAGAUAUUCGGAAGAACACCAGUGGCGAAGGCGACUGACUGGACAAGUAUUGACGCUGAGGCACGAAAGCGUGGGGAGCAAACAGGAUUAGAUACCCUGGUAGUCCACGCCGUAAACGAUGAUAACUAGCUGUUCGGGUACUUGGUAUCUGAGUGGCGCAGCUAACGCAUUAAGUUAUCCGCCUGGGGAUACGGUCGCAGNUAAACUCAAAGGAAUUGACGG